UCGACGGCAGCGCGGACUUCGGUCUGGCGGCGAGUGGCGAACGGGUGAGUAACAUAUCGGAACGUGCCAGGAAGUGGGGGAUAACUAGUCGAAAGAUUAGCUAAUACCGCAUACGCCCCAAGGGGGAAAGUGGGGGAUCGCAAGACCUCACGCUUUUUGAGCGGCCGAUAUCUGAUUAGCUAGUUGGUAGGGUAAAAGCCUACCAAGGCGACGAUCAGUAGCUGGUCUGAGAGGACGACCAGCCACACUGGGACUGAGACACGGCCCAGACUCCUACGGGAGGCAGCAGUGGGGAAUUUUGGACAAUGGGGGCAACCCUGAUCCAGCAAUGCCGCGUGAGUGAAGAAGGCCUUCGGGUUGUAAAGCUCUUUUGUCCGGGAAGAAAUCCCAUCUGUUAAUACCGGGUGGGGAUGACGGUACUGGAAGAAUAAGCACCGGCUAACUACGUGCCAGCAGCCGCGGUAAUACGUAGGGUGCAAGCGUUAAUCGGAAUUACUGGGCGUAAAGCGUGCGCAGGCGGUUGUGCAAGACCGAUGUGAAAUCCCCGGGCUUAACCUGGGAACUGCAUUGGUGACUGCACGGCUAGAGUGUGUCAGAGGGGGGUAGAAUUCCACGUGUAGCAGUGAAAUGCGUAGAGAUGUGGAGGAAUACCGAUGGC
rnacentral:rRNA from 1 species